AGGUUGGCUCAGAAGCAGCCAUCCUUUAAAGAGUGCGUAACAGCUCACUAGUCGAGUGACCCUGCGCCGAAAAUGUACCGGGGCUAAGCCUGAUACCGAAACUGCGGAUUGUAGGAAACUAUAGUGGUAGGGGAGCGUUGUAUACGAGUAGAAGCCGUACCGUGAGGAGCGGUGGAUUGUAUAGAAGUGAGAAUGCCGGUGUGAGUAGCGAGAUGUAGGUGAGAAUCCUACACACCGAAAGCCCAAGGAUUCCAGGGGAAGGUUCGUCCGCCCUGGGUAAGUCGGGACCUAACGCGAGGCCGAAAGGCGUAGUGGAUGGAAAGCAGGCGAAAGAUUCCUGCACCCGUAUAUGGAGCGAAGGAGUGACGGAGACGGAUAGUGUGACCCUCUUAAUGGAUUGAGGGCGAAGCGAAGCGGCUGGUUACCAGGCAAAUCCGGUAACUGAAAGGCUAGAGCGUGACAGGUAAGCGAAAUCUUCGGAAAGUAGCGAAGCACAUGAUGACGGCUUCCAGGAAAAGCUUCUGGCAAUGCAUAUGCGGCCCGUACCAAAACCGACACAGGUGGGCAGGGAGAGAAUCCCGAGGUGAGCGAGAGAACUGUUGCCAAGGAACUCGGCAAAAUGACUCCGUAAGUUAGCGAGAAGGAGUGCUUAAGCAAUUAAGCCGCAGUGAAGAGGCCCAAGCGACUGUUUAACUAAAACACAGCUCUCUGCGAAGUCGCAAGACGAAGUAUAGGGGGUGACACCUGCCCGGUGCUGGAAGGUUAAGAGGAUCUGUUAAGAGCGAUCUGAAGCAGUGAUCCGAAGCCCCAGUGAACGGCGGCCGUAACUAUAACGGUCCUAAGGUAGCGAAAUUCCUUGUCAGGUAAGUUCUGACCCGCACGAAAGGUGUAACGAUUUGGGCGCUGUCUCGGCAGCAGACUCGGUGAAAUCUUAGUACCUGUGAAAAUGCAGGUUACCCGCAACUAGACGGAAAGACCCCAUGGAGCUUUACUGCAGCCUGAUAUUGAAUUCUGGUCAUACAUGUACAGGAUAGGUGGGAGACAAAGAGACGUGCACGCCAGUGUACGAGGAGUCGCCGUUGGGAUACCACUCUUGUGUGACCGGGGUUCUAACCUGGUAUCGAAAACAGGUACGGGGAGAGUGUCAGGUGGGCAGUUUGACUGGGGCGGUCGCCUCCCAAAGAGUAACGGAGGCGCCCAAAGGUACGCUCAGAUUGGAUGGAAACCAAUCGGCGAGUGCAAUUGCAGAAGCGUGCUUGACUGUGAGACUUACAAGUCGAACAGGGACGAAAGUCGGGAAUAGUGAUCCGGCGGUGCCGAAUGGAAGGGCCGUCGCUCAACGGAUAAAAGCUACCCUGGGGAUAACAGGCUGAUCUCGCCCAAGAGUUCACAUCGACGGCGAGGUUUGGCACCUCGAUGUCGGCUCAUCGCAUCCUGGAGCUGGAUUCGGUUCCAAGGGUUGGGCUGUCCGCCCAUUAAAGCGGUACGCGAGCUGGGUUCAGAACGUCGUGAGACAGUUCGGUCCCUAUCUGUUGUGGGCGAAGGAGAUCUGCGGAGAGCUGUCCUCAGUACGAGAGGACCGGGAUGGACCUACCGCUGGUGCACCGGUUGUUCCGCCAGGGGCAUAGCCGGGUAGCUAAGUAGGGAAAGGAUAAGCGCUGAAAGCAUCUAAGCACGAAGCCUACUCCAAGAUGAGAUCUCCCAUUCGCAAGAAGUAAGACCCCUUAAAGACGAUAAGGUAGAUAGGCCAGGGAUGGAAGUGCAGUGAUGUACGGAGUUGACUGGUACUAAUCGGUCGAGGACUUAAUCAG
rnacentral:rRNA from 1 species